ACUCAAAUGAAUAGACGGGGGCCCGCACAAGCAGCGGAGCAUGGGGUUUAAUUCGACGCGACGCGAAGAACCUUACCUGGACUUGACAUGUCGGUGACCGCCAUGGAAACAUGGUUUCCCUUCGGGGCACCGUCACAGGUGGUGCAUGGCUGUCGUCAGCUCGUGUCGUGAGAUGUUGGGUUAAGUCCCGCAACGAGCGCAACCCCCGUUGUAUGUUGCCAGCAUUAAGUUGGGGACUCAUGCAAGACUGCCGGUGACAAACCGGAGGAAGGUGGGGAUGACGUCAAGUCAUCAUGCCCCUUAUGUCCAGGGCUACACCCGUGCUACAUUGGCGCGUACAAAAGGCAGCGAUACCGCGAGGUGGAGCGAAUCCUAUAAAGCGCGUCUUAGUUCGGAUUGCAGGCUGAAACUCGCCUGCAUGAAGUUGGAGUUGCUAGUAAUCGUGGAUCAGCAUUGCCACGGUGAAUACGUUCUCGGGCCUUGUACACACCGCCCGU
rnacentral:rRNA from 1 species